rnacentral:lncRNA from 1 species
GCCAGGUGUUUGAGAUCAGCCUGAGCAACAUGGUGAAAUCCCGUCUCUACUAAAAAUACAAAAACUGCGGCGGCAGCGCCACUCAGGCGUUGGGUAACGCUAGACAGAUGGACUGUCACGUGACAUGAAGUGGCUCCGAACAGGAAGAGGAUGGAAAAGAUAACCGUCCCUGAUGCCGAGACGAACCGGACCUGCAGCCACCAUGAACAGCAAAGGGCUCCUCCAGCUAUAGCAGCCAAAGCAUAUUCAAUCCGGACAAGUUUAUCAGACGGGCUGAAUGUAGUCAGCGAAAAGCCGUACCGCGCUCCGCCAUCUUUACCCGAAGAGCCAAAGCACAAGUUCAGGGAGGUGUCCACUGUCUCUCAAAUCAACCACCAGACUUUAGAGGGGCACAAGAUUGUUAACGCGCAAAGGUGGUUGAGGAAUUGGAAAGGUUGACUGGGGCUGCACCUUGGAAUUUAUUUUGUCUUGGAUAAUAUGUAACAUUAACAGAGAGCAGAAGCUGAUUAAAGUAUCUUGGUG